CGAGGAAAAGUUGGAAGUUGGUCAAAGUAUAAAUGUGAUUGUACCACAAAGGCAGUUUUAUUAUGAAACUGAAUGGAUUUUAUCGACUGAAACUCAUGCAAAAGUUUCAUGGGCAAAAGAAGAAGGUGUAACUUACCAGAUUGGAGCCUGUGUUAUUGUUGACAAAAAGGAUGAUAUCGUAUUUGGCAAGAUAAACAAUAUUUUUGUAGUACAACAUCAAGUCCUGUUAGAUGUCCAGCUAUUGACAGUAGAAUUCCAUCAACACAUCAAUUCAUAUAUU